rnacentral:rRNA from 1 species
GCGUGCGAUUGGAUUGCACGUCUAAGCAGUAAGGCUGAGUAUUAGGCAAAUCCGGUACUCAUUAAGGCUGAGCUGUGAUGGGGAGAAGACAUUGUGUCUUCGAGUCGUUGAUUUCACACUGCCGAGAAAAGCCUCUAGAUAGAAAAUAGGUGCCCGUACCGCAAACCGACACAGGUAGUCAAGAUGAGAAUUCUAAGGUGAGCGAGCGAACUCUCGUUAAGGAACUCGGCAAAAUGACCCCGUAACUUCGGGAGAAGGGGUGCUCUUUAGGGUUAACGCCCAGAAGAGCCGCAGUGAAUAGGCCCAAGCGACUGUUUAUCAAAAACACAGGUCUCUGCUAAACCGUAAGGUGAUGUAUAGGGGCUGACGCCUGCCCGGUGCUGGAAGGUUAAGAGGAGUGGUUAGCUUCUGCGAAGCUACGAAUCGAAGCCCCAGUAAACGGCGGCCGUAACUAUAACGGUCCUAAGGUAGCGAAAUUCCUUGUCGGGUAAGUUCCGACCCGCACGAAAGGCGUAACGAUUUGGGCACUGUCUCAACGAGAGACUCGGUGAAAUCAUAGUACCUGUGAAGAUGCAGGUUACCCGCGACAGGACGGAAAGACCCCGUGGAGCUUUACUGUAGCCUGAUAUUGAAAUUCGGCACAGCUUGUACAGGAUAGGUAGGAGCCUUUGAAACGUGAGCGCUAGCUUACGUGGAGGCGCUGGUGGGAUACUACCCUAGCUGUGUUGGCUUUCUAACCCGCACCA